rnacentral:rRNA from 1 species
AGGGUUUGAUCAUGGCUCAGAUUGAACGCUGGCGGCAUGGCUAAAACAUGCAAGUCGAACGAUUAAAGCUUCUUCGGAAGUGCAUAAAGUGGCGUAAGGGCGAGGAAUAUAUUUCUAUGUACCCCAAAGUCAAGGAUAGCCCAGGGAAACUUGGUGUAAUACUUGAUGUGGUCUCCGGAUCAAAGAUUUAUCGCUUUGGGAGCAGGGAAUAUCCUAUCAGGUUGUUGGUGAGGUAACGGCUCACCAAGCCAAAGACGGGUAGCGGGUGUGAGAGCAUGACCCGCCGCAUCGGAACUGAGACACUGUCCGGACUCCUACGGGAGGCUGCAGUAACGAAUAUUCCGCAAUGAGCGAAAGCUUGACGGAGCAAUGCCGCGUGUAGGAUGAAUCUUUUCGGAGUGUAAACUACUGUCAGAGACUAGGAACUCAAUGACCAAUCUCAAAGGAAGGGCCGGCUAACUUCGUGCCAGCAGCCGCGGUAAUACGAAGGGCCCGAGCGUUAUUCGGAAUCACUGGGCUUAAAGCGUACGUAGGCUGGUAUAUAGGCGUCUUGUGAAAUCCCUCGGCUCAACCGAGGAACUGCAAGGCGAACCAUAUAUCUUGAGACAGACAGAGGUCGUCGGAACGAUUG